UAACCUGCCUGGUAGCGGGGGAUAACUAUUGGAAACGAUAGCUAAUACCGCAUAAGAGUAGAUGUUGCAUGACAUUUGCUUAGAAGGUGCAAUUGCAUCACUACCAGAUGGACCUGCGUUGUAUUAGCUAGUUGGUGGGGUAACGGCUCACCAAGGCGACGAUACAUAGCCGACCUGAGAGGGUGAUCGGCCACACUGGGACUGAGACACGGCCCAG
rnacentral:rRNA from 1 species